GCUUCGUCCGGUUCUGGAAUCUUGGCGGGUGGCGGUCUCUCCCCGAUCGAUCCGUUCGGCUCGUGCGGUAAGACGUUUUUUAAUUACUCUUUUGUUGUGCGCAGCCACGCAGAGUCUCGAAGCUGCAGGAGAAUACAGAUUGUUUUAAAAGAGUCUGUUGUUUACUAAUUGGACGGAACGUGCACACUACAAGUGAUCGUGGCUGGUCGAGACAGUAGGAGUUUACGUAGCCUCUGUCGGAAUUGCUGGGUUUGUUAAUUGUCUUCUUUAGCCCUGAGGAUUCGUUCUUGUGCCUCUGAAAUAAUGAAUUUUUAAGUGCAUGAAAUUUAGUGUGGGCUUGAAUCGGCCCGGAGAUUUGACUCAGCUCCAGCGGACUUAUAUUGACCUACCUCGGUUAAAUCACCGGUCUGGGAUGGACUUUAAGGAUUGAAAAGUAUGUUAAAUUAAUUUUUCUCUGGUGAAACAUUGAAAAGGAGUUGAAUCGCUCUUAAAACAGGACUUAUAUUGGAAUCGAGCUGAAUCGCUUUUUUGGACUUAUAUUGGGUUUUGAGUUGAAUCACUCUUUAAACAGGACUUAUAUUGGACUCGAGCUGAAUCGCUCUAUUGGACUUAUAUUGGCUUUUGAGUUGUAUCACUCGGAGGACUCAGUUUACAAGUUGGAAAAUUCACAGGAUUGGGCCGAGUUGCAUCACUCGCGGAGAAUAUAGGACUAAGUUUAUAAGUUUGGAAAUUAAUGCAGUUUUUAGCCGGCAUUUUAUUUUAUUUUAUUUCUUCCCCGUCUGUCUUUUACGUUUGUCUGAAACUGUGUUUGUGUCUCUGUAUUUCUCUGUGUGUGUGUAUCUGCGUGGCCGUGUGUGUGCGCGUGCGCGAGUUCGGGCUGGUUGUGUGUUUCAGCAGAGUGUUCGGUUGUUUGAAUAGCGCUGUGUGUGUGAAUUUGCAUUGAUUUGGCUGCGUUUUAUUGUGAAGUUAUUAUGGACACUGAGUUGCGACACGUGCUAUACGCUAUUUUAUGGUCGGGGUUCGUAGAACAGUUUUAACGGGGAAAGUAGAACGAUGGCGAAACGUGGUCUUUUAGUUUAAAAAUAAA